AACAUGCCUAUAAAGGAUUAUAGUUUGCUUCCUCUAUAAAAGCUAAGGAAUGGUAAGAUCCUAUAGCUUAAUGUAUUUCUCUAGUUUGAUAUGUAUUUUCCCUUGUGUUUUUUUCCCAUUGCCCUUUGUUGUUAGUGCUCUGAAACAAAUCUUGUUUCAUACUGCGAUUGUGAAAUAAGCACUUUAACUAAUGUGAAUGACUUAAAAGCGGAAUAGGGUAUUGUUCUACACUACAGUUGUGUUUGGGUUCUCUUACACUGAUUUGAUAUUCGUUUUUCACUGCUACCUUUGUAAUUCUUUGUAUGUGUUGUUAGACAUAUUAUGAUAGUCCUUCCUUGCAUGGUGCAGAUACUUCUGGCUUUGGAGCAUAACAAUUUUCUUCCUGUUUGAUAGAAGGAUCUUAUGUUUUUAUUAAAUAUGCUGUGUAAUGCAGUUCUAUUCACUGAACUCUUGUUAUCUGUUUCCAAAACAUAAUACUACAAUCACAUUUCAUUUCUAAUAUUAUUCAAGCUAAAUGACUAUUUUGAUCUUAGCUUUGAGCCAAACUCAACAGCUCAGGCCUAGUUUUAGUAUUUAUAGCUCAUAAAAUUUUAUAAUCCAUUAAAAUUUGCCCAUAAGUAUUUCACUUUCUGACUUCUAGUGGCUAUGGACUUCCCACAUACUCAAAGAAGAGGCAUUUUCUUUUAUCUGUGUCUGACUAGCUUGCAUGCAAGAUCUGCACCACUCUGAUCGCAUGCUAAAAAGCUUCUACAAGAGAAAGCAUAAAAAAAUUUUCUACUCUUAUAUUCUCUGGUGGUCAUCUGUAGCUCACUAUUUCCUUAGCGGGGUCAUUCUGGACAAUUUGGUUACUGUUAAGCUGCAGUAGCAGGAGGCUCAUCUGAAGGUGGCAGCAAGAGCUGCUUUCUCACUGGGAGAAAUGAUUUUUUGAACCUAGAAGCUAUGCUAACAGGAUUUGGAAACAAACUAACUUUGAUUUUAAUAGAGCCUCCUAAUACAGUUGCAUUUUAAUGUAACAGUGAUACUGGGCUCCUAAAUACUGAGAGGCAGAGUUUAUUAGCUCAAGCGUAGGACUGUGCUAAUGAAAACUUUAAUACUUCCAGGACUCCAGGUAAGUAUUUCUAGACAAACCUCCCCUGCCUUUUAUAGGUGUACAAGUCUGGGUUAGUACUGCUUCAUGGCUGUCUGCGUCGGGCAUUGCUGGAUUGCAUAGAAAGGACACUAAAAAAGCAUCCAAGAAAGAGAGAAGCAAAGGAAGAAAACCGGGAUUCAUGAUGCAUGCAGGAACAAGUGGAGAGUCAUCACAGCUCAUAGCACAGCUUUAAUAAGCUCACAUUGCGCAGCUCUACUGAACUGCUAUACUCUGGAUAAGCAGAAGAUUCAAGAGGUCUUCAGAGAAAUGCUUUGUUGCUAUCCAGCCUCAGCUAAUUUAUCACAUAGUUUUGCAUUUUGGUAAGCAGUUUUCCAACAAAUUUAGGGAAUUGAUCUUCAGUCAUUAGGGAAUUAAUGUGUGAUGUGCUUACACUCUACUGUGUGUAUCCUGUAGAUUUAUUUCCAUUUCUAAUUGACUUCUUUUGAGAAUGGUGCACCAGAACAGUGUUAGCUAGUACUAAAAAGUGAAUACUAAAUAUUCCAUCAUGA